UUCUCAAUCCUAAUCAGAUCAUCCCAUCUAAAGAUACAAACGCUGAUCGGAGAGUCUAAGUUUUGUAAAUGUUUACAUCACCUUGAUAGUGACUCGAGAAGGAUUCAUUUGUUUUUCUACUCUUAAAUGGACCUCUUCUUUGAUUUUGGGACACUAAUCCACUGUUGUUAUCCAAUCUCUUUGCUUUGGCAAGUGCUCCAAGAAACAUUUCACACCUUCAAGUCAUGCUUACGCAAAAGCUCGUGCCCGAGCCGGUGCCCGACGGGAUCUUUACCUCUUUUGUUUCAUCCGAUCCACAAUUUCCUUCUUGGGUGAUCAUCGAUUAUUUUUCAAGCAAUAAUACAGUUGAAAACGAUGAACCCUUGGGAACCUUUAGCAGAGUUGACGAGCCAAGGCCCACCGUUUUGCUUCCUGAGGAGCUAGUUCCGCCAUUUUCUCCAGUUUCCAAUUUUAUUGACCAAGUCAACGAUGACGGUUCCGGUAACGUUAAGCUUUUCACUGAACAGAACUUGGAGAAAUCACUUUUGGAUUUCCAUCCACAACUAAAGACUAAUCAAAUUGUAGCUGUUCAAUUAUGGUUAGUAACAAAAAUCGUCAAGAAAAAUGUACUAAGAUCUUCACCACGCAAUAUACCUGGUUCGUGGACCGAAGAUCAACAGUUCAUGCUAGAUGUGACCGAGGGAUACUUAUGUGAAUCGUUAACCCGAGUUUAUUCCUGUGAUCAAAAGACUAAAAGCAGUAGCUCGUUUGGCCUCAUUGACACCCUUAUUCCGUACUUGUCUACUACGGAAGAGGUGACUUACCUUCUAAAUAGGCAGGUUUCGGUCUCUGCAUUUCGACUUAGGUGCCCUCUAUGGGCGCCUAAUUUGCAUAUUUACAAGCAUCAUCAUCAAAAUUGUCCGAAACCAAGUAGUUCCAAGGAAAACUAUAUCAUAUGCGGAACUUUGGCAAUUCCUGUGUUUGAUCCUUACACUAACCAAUGUGUUGGUGUUUAUGAAGUUGUAAUUGCAUCUACCGAAAUUGAUCUUGCUGUUGUUGAUAUAAUCUGCAAUCUUCUCAAGGCAGUAAACCUUCGUGCAAACACACAGUUUCAUUACCAACCUCGGCAAAGAGUGCUAGCUGAGAUUUUGAAAGUGAUAACCAAGGUAUGCGAGGAUCAUGAUUUACCUUUGGCACAAACUUGGAUGCCUUGUACAUGUCCUGAUCGAAGCUGCAAUUCGAAGCAACUCUGCAUGUCGAAUGCAGAGUUGCCUUUUUAUAUGAAAGACCCUUCCUAUUACCCCUUUUGGGAAGCCGGUGCCAUGUAUCACAUGACUGAAGGACAGGCGGUUGCUGGCACGACAUUUUCAUCAAAAGGACUAUGUUUUUGUAGAGAUAUCACUCGCUUUCCGGACAACUUCUCCUUGGUGCCUUUGUCACGUCAGUUUAAGAUUAAUUGCUCCUUGGCUAUAUGCUUAGGGAGUGCAUACGCGACAAAUGAUGUCUAUAUCGUGCAAUUCUUUUGGCAAAGAACCUUGAAAAAUACGAUAGAAGAUGAUGAUUUUAAGGUCUUUUCUAUUACAACGUCGAUGAAACAACAAUUUGAUAAGCUAAGUAUGGUUUCACCUGUUUAUGAAGAGUUGGAGGCUGAAACAGAGCGAGUUAGUUAUCGUACAAAACUCAUCGAUGGUGAGGGUGAUGGAGAAGAUUAUACAUUCUUAUCGAGUACAAUAAUGGCAAGGGACGAGCACAACAAUGAAGUUGGCAUCCGUUCAAAUAAGCAAAUUGAUCAUGAAUACCAAUCUAUUAAUCGUGGAAUUGAAGGUGUCAAAUGCGAAGUUUCAAAAAAAGCUAGGAAGAAAAAGUGCAAUUUGACCAAGGAAGAUUUGUUGCCGUACCUCAAAGGAACAUUAGACGCUGCAGCUGACCACCUUGGAAUCUCAGAAUCCACCCUAAAGAGAAAAUGCAAGGAAUUGAACAUCAAGAAUUGGCAAGAUGAACGAAAGAACCAGGGUAUUAGUGCUCCCGCAAGGAAGAAAAGAGCAUCUAAAGACUUGGAAUUCUUAGAAGAGUAAUUAUGAGAAAGUUUAGUGUGGGAAAUUGGCAAUGGCGAAUAAGGUAUGUAUGUGUUCAUGUCUUAAUUUUUUUUUAAACAAAAUCUAAACCAAACGAAUUGUCAUAAUGAUUUUUUUUCCUUUUUUUGUACUGUAAAAUUAGUCUGCAAUGUCAAUAAUGUUUGGAGAUUCAAUGUAAUAUGGUAAGAAUGCAAGAUAACUGAUUAGUAGUAACCUAUAUGCAUGAUAUUAUAAAAUAUAAUGGUACAAUUUCCUUGAAUAAUUACGUCUUGUUUGCGGCUAUCCACACUAUGUGACCACUUGUAAAAGAACAAAAUCACUCUUAUAAUAUUGACCAAGUAACCCUGUAAUACUGAUCGAGUAACCCCUAUAACACUCACUGAGUAACACCUAUAACAUUGACGAAAUAACCCCUUUAACACUAACGAGUAACCUUGUCUACGAUCACUGGCCACACCGUGUGGCUAGCCUCAUAUAAGAAUUUGUGUUUCUCAAAUGUUAAAUUAUGAGUUAAAAAGAUGUAUCAAACAAUAUUACUCUUUUUGUCAUCAUUCAAGGUAGUGUAUUGUUCUCUUUAUCUAAGAGGAAAUCCAAGUUACUCGAGCUAAGUAACAAUUCAUGUUACUCAAGGGACAUAAUUGUCAUUUUGUCUGUCUAAGUAGGGAGGAAAAUAGUAGGCCACGAUUUAAUUGCUUUCUUCAUCCUCUCCAUCUCAGAUUUCCUCCAUUUUUGGCUCCUUCAUCCUCCAUAGUCUAGCUUCCUUUAUCAACGCCUCCUCUAUUUCCAUCACCUAAGGUAGUUAAAAUUGAUGCCGUGAACAAGAUGCUUCCCCUAAGGGGUUGAUAUGACCCUACUUGACACUUUUUAUUACUAGGGUUUCGUUUUGUUCCGCCGCAAAGUGGCGUUGUGGGCUUGAGAAUGGACGAAGAAGAGGAGGUCGAUGGGGGAAGAAGAAGAUCAGAGGUCAAAGGGCUUGAGAAAGGACGGAGGUCGACGGGCUUGAGAAAGGACGAAGAAGAUCGGAGGUUGACGGGCUUGAGAAAGAUUAGAGAAGAGGAGGUCGAUUGUGGUUGUUGUGAUGUGUUCGGCGAAGUGAUAAUGGUAGUUGUGAUGAUGGUGGUGGAUGUGAUGGUGGUGAAAGUCGACGGAGAGAAAUGAAGAAGAAAGGACUGCCAGCUAUGGAGUAAUCUGGGCGGAGAGAGAUGAAGAAGAAAGGAUUGCCAGCUAUUUCAAGACCAAUAUUUACAAGAUUGCCAUUUGAGUCACAAUAUUUGUUACUCAAAUUGAGUAACCAGUGCUCCCUCUAUAUCUAAUGAGCUUUACUUAUCUUAUUACUAUGUAUUUUCUUAUCUUUUUUUUUUACACACGUAUUAUCUUAUCUUAUUAGUCCCAAAAUAAUCUUUUAGUUGAAUUUAUCAAUUCUUAUAUAACUUUAAAUAAAUUUAUUUCACAAACUUUUAUAUGUGGCUGGCCACACCGUGUGGCCAAUCAUUAUGGCAGUUACUUUGUUAGUGCUACAAGAGUUACUCUUUCGGUCAGGGGUUACUAAGUCGGUCAGGGGUUACUUGGUCGGUUAGGGGUUACUCGGUCAGUCAGGGGUUACUAAGUCGGUCAGGGGUUAUUUGGCCAGGGGUUAAUUACUCGAUCAAGGGUUACUAAGUCGAUCAUGAGUUACUCGGUCAGGGGUUAAUUGGUCGGUUAAGGGUUACUCGGUCGGUCAAGGUUUACUUGGUCAGGGGUUACUAAGUCGGUCAGGGGUUACUCGGUCAGGAUUUACUUACUCGAACUGGGGUUAUUAAGUCGAUCAGUGAUUACUUGGUUAGGGAUUACUCGAUCGGUCAGGGGUUACAUGGUCAGAGGUUACUCGUCGAUCAAGGGUUACUUGGUGUGUGUCAGCUGGCCACAUGGUGUGACCACCCGCACACAAAAGUUGCUGAAUUUGUUUAGACCUUAGACCCUAGACUUUAUCUUAUCUUAUUCAAAGUUAACAACCUUUUAUUUUAUAGUAGCCCUUAUAGUACAUUUAUACUAUUAGAAUUUAGAUCUUAUUUAUAUUUUAUUUUAUCUAAAUUUUACCUUAGUUAAGCGUAUUAUUAAAUCCGAAAUAAGUGAAAAUAAGAUGAGAAUAUUAGAGGUUAGAUAAGGCAAAUAAAAGUGCAAGUUUCAUUUUUACUUGUGCAUACACUUUUUAGAAAGUACAAAUUAAAGCAUAUUUAUUAAGUGAUCUUGUUAAUUAAGUUAUUUUGUUUAGAGUGAGAGAUAGCUCAAGUGAUUAGAGCUCCCCUCCCGAUUUCAGGUUGUCCAUCUUGGAAAGCUUGUGAUGAUCCAACUUUGUAGAGGAGCUGAUCUCUUUUGAAUGGGCGUGUAAAUAGAUGAAUAAAAUUUUGGAUGAUUAGUUAUUUUAAGCUAAAUUUUGGAUGGAUAAUGUUGUAUGUUUAUGCAGAAAUGUUCCUGUAUUUAGUCAAAUCUCUGACGUUAAAGCAUUCUUACUCUUUCCAUGAUUUAGCUAGAAGAGUGUAUUUUGUAAAUAACUAACAAUAGAUUAUUCUUGUGAUAUUGUAAAUGGAAAAUUGGCCACAGUGA